CUCUCCCCGAAUGCUUCUAGAUCGUGUGAGGCAAAUGUUGGAUGACGGUGGCUUCAUUGAGAACAUUGGCAGUGAACGUCUGUUUGUAACGGUUCACGAUGCCGUGCGGUACACCCAGGAUAUAAUCUGUGCGGCAUCACCAGUACACGAUGGACCAUCUGCGAGAACGCCUUCAUCCCCGACUAUCUCAGAGAUGGGAGUGACAAUAUCGUCUUUGUGACGGCCUUGCAACGCUGACGGAAGGACGUGCUAGGCCAUUGAGGUUUCUACCUGUGUGCGUACGCUGUGCGUCUGCUUGAGCGGGUAUGCAUCUCCGCAUCACGCAAUGCGAGACGCCAAUACUCUAUGUCACGUUAUUUUCGGUGUAAUUUUAAUUUCGGUAAUUUCCGUAGAGAAUCCAGGCACCUAAGAUUACACAUAAAAGGCACUAGAGUAUGCACUGUAUGUGAAGGGUAGGCUGGUCACCUAAUUCUAUACCACACCUGAAACCUGACAGGCCCCUGGUACCGAAAUUUAAAUACACCUAAAAUGACAUGUUAUACUAUACCAGUAAUAAUCAUGAUAUCAAUUUGGUAAUUCUCCAGGAGACAGGAUUAACUCGGUGUUGAGGAUUGCAGCUAUUUCCACCUCGCUCCUCUAUUCUUUUUCUGCGCUUCUCUAACUUAUUGUAACAUGGAAAAGCCGGCGUGGGCACAAGUUAUGCGAGUUUAAUAUGCACAUUUUUUCCACACGGGGCAGAACCACAGAGACCAAAAAUCUUUCUCAUAACAUUUUUCAUGUUACAAUAUUUCCUUGGCUUACCAUCUGAGUUCUCUAACUUAUCAUAUUCAUUGCAAACGCACGAGCAGCAGCAGCAGCAGCAGUGUGAUAUUUGUUGUCCUCCAGCUGUGAUUUAGAUUUUUUAUGAAUUUGAAGGAUUUAUAGUGAUUUGAAUACGCUUUCAUAGGUUGCCUAACUUCCCUUCCCUCGAUGCCAUACUCGUAUACCCUA